UACGUAGGGGGCGAGUGUUGUCCGGAAUCAUUGGGCGUAAAGCGCGUGUAGGCGGUUCAGUAAGUCUGCUGUGAAAGUCCAGGGCUCAACCCUGGGAUGCCGGUGGAUACUGCUGAACUAGAGUGCGGAAGAGGCGAGUGGAAUUCCCGGUGUAGCGGUGAAAUGCGCAGAUAUCGGGAGGAACACCAAUUGCGAAGGCAGCUCGCUGGGACGUUACUGACGCUGAGACGCGAAAGCGUGGGGAGCAAACAGG
rnacentral:rRNA from 1 species